GGGGCCGUAGCUCAGUCGGGAGAGCGCGUCGUUCGCAAUGACGAGGUCAGGGGUUCGAUUCCCCUCGGCUCCACCA
rnacentral:tRNA from 12 species